CGCGGUGACACGGGAAUGACCUGUUUCCUGCCCAAAGGGUGACAUCGGUGAACAUGCAGUGCUUCCGGAGGGUGUUCAGGUGGGAUAAGACGCAGUCUGGGUGGGAAGCUUUGUGGAAAAGCAGGAUGUUCAUGGAGCCCGUGCUCGUCCGGGAUUUGCGGUUCUCGUGGACGCUGACUGACAUGAUGACAGAUCUAUUGCCGCCUCUCUCCGCAACCUCCCGGUGUCUCGAAAGCCUCCGCAGCGCUGCCACAGCCGCCCCCGACUCCGCGGGCGGAGCGCUGCCGCUGCCGCUGCCG
rnacentral:lncRNA from 1 species